UUGCUAAAUCUGCGCUACAGGCGUACAAAAUGCUUAAAUCGGCUAGUACAAGCCAAGUGCAACAAAAGUGUGGUGGCGACGGAAUGGGAGAACGGAUAGAAAUUAUGGAAGUCGAUGAAAGAGAGCUUGGUAAGGAUACGGCUGGACAUGCAACUGACGAACUUUCGUGCAAAAUCGUUUCUGGUGUCAGUGAAUCUGAAAGUUGGGAGGAAACCGA